rnacentral:rRNA from 1 species
AUGGCCCAAGUUUGCACCAUCAUGUCAGAUUUGGGCGGCCAUCCUUCGUGGUGUUGGCUGAAACUCUUCGCUCAACUUCAAAACAAGUUUCAGUUAUUUGAUCUAAGGGCAUACGGCAGGGAAUCGGCUUUUGUCAUGGCAUACUGCCCGAGCUUGCAAGAGGAGGUGGAGCAGCAAGACGAGGAUGACGCAGGAUGUAUUCACACUCUUCCAUGUGGUCAGGCCGCGAACAUUCAUGCUGGAGUCCUGUGUUAA